GACCUUUCUUUAUUAGAUUUAAACGAGAAUUUGACUUUUAAUAGAACACAAUGAAGAAAAAGGAUUUAUGUAGCCAACCCCACGUAGUGGGAUAAAGGCUUGAUAUUGUUGUUGUAUAAUAAUCCAUUAGGAACUAUGAUAGAUAAAAUAGAAGCACAAAGUUCUAGCACAAGUUGUAGAAUUAGAGACUUUUGGUAGACUUGGGUGAUUGGUGAUCCGAGGGUGAGGAAGCUGAAGAUGCAUAUUUUUGAGGGAGAUGAUGCCCAUGGGUGAAGCUAUAAGGUGGAAGGUCACUUUACCAUCAAUAGGUUGACGGAGGAGGAGAGACUGAUGGCAGUCGGGAUUUGCUUGGAGGGAAAAGCUUUAGCAAGGCACCAGCGGAGGGAUACGAGGCGACCCAUAUGAAUUUGGAGAGAUUUCAAGGAUUGCUUGUUGGAAUGUUUUCGAAUUAGUAAGGGAGGAGACUUCUAUGAGCUGUUCUUCGCCUUGAUGCUGGAGGGGACAAUUAUGGAGUAUCGUGAAUAGUUUUAGCACUUGGACAACCGACUUGACCGGCUCCCAGAGAUUGUACUAGAGGGAAACUUUAUGAAAGGACACAAACCAAAUAUUAGAGCGACAAUUAGAGUGAUGAGAUCUCAUGAUUUGGGAGAGGCUAUGAAAUUAGCCCAAUUAGUGGAGAAUCAGAGGCACCUGAAGUGAGGGGCUAGAGGCAACAAUUCAGGAGGUUUGUACAGGAUGACCACUACCUUUUUAGCAUCAAAAGAGAUAACACUGAGUACUCUUAAGGAGACUUUGAAAGAGAAGACUGUAGCAGGAAGGCUAGGGGAAAACUUCAAGAAACUCAUAGAGAUAGAGUUACAGGAGAAGAAGACAAAGGGGCUGUGUUUUAGAUGUUAUGAGUGGUAUACACCAGGGCAUAGGUGUAAGGACCGAACUCUUCAAGUUCUCAUUGUUUGUAAUGAUGAGGGAAUGGAGGGUUUCGUGUUUCCACCUUGCGGACAAGGUGGGCCUUUGGGAGGGGAGUAUUGUUAGAUCAUUCCAGCUGGUCCUGGAGGGACUUGCUUUACUUCUAUUAGGGGCAGAACACCUAUAACGCUUGAAUAGAUGCCGCCUCUCUGCGUGGGGUCAAACAGACGUCAAUUAGGAAGGGUAUUAAGUGGUUUAGGAGGAAAUAUUCAGAGGGGCUGUUUAGAGAACUCCUUUAUGAUUGUAUGCUUUAAGUAGUAUGUUUUUCGAGGUUUAUAUUAUCUUGUUUUUUUGUAAAUUUGGAGAGUUCUUAGGUUUUAAUUGGGCUCUAACCGCGUCUAGAGAAUUGGGAGAGCCAAAUCCUCCUCUCCAAUUGAGGAUCAAUUGUAUGUUGUUGUUUUUUUUCCACUAUUAUCAAUUAAAAGAAUCUCUAUUUUGUUAUUUCACCAUCUACUCUUAAUUUUUGCUUUACAAAAGGCUGAAUUUUUAAUUCAGCCAAGAUUAUUCCCUUUUUCUACAAGCAUUUUCUAUCAGAUAGCUAUCAUAUCAAGGAAGAUAAGAUUGAUCAAUAGGGAUGGAUUCAAAGUGGGCCCAAGGGGGCACCCUCCGUCCCAACAAAAUAUAUAUAUAUAUGUAUAAUUAUAAUUUUUUUACUUUAAUUUAUUUUUUUUAAUUUAAUAGAGAAUUUUAUUAUAUUUCUUUAAUCAUUUAUAAUUCAUUUCAACAAAAUUUUUUACUUUUCUUCGAUAUAUGAAAAUCUUGAUUUACAUUGAAAUUGAUAUUUUGAAGCAUUUACUCAACUAGAGUCGUGAUGAAAUGAAAGGAAAAGAAUAGGAAAAAUGAUCAAAAUUGUCCUUUAACUCUUAUGGAAGAUCAAAAUGGUCCCCAAUCAUAUUAAAUGAUCAUUUUGAUCUCUUCCUUAAAGAAGAACCAACAUAGUCCCCCCACGGGACUAUUUUGGUUCCUCUUUAAAGAUUUGAUUAGAAGGCAUGGAUAUUGUCAGGGACAACCAACCGCAUUUUAAUUACUAAGAAAUCUCUUAAAGAUAAAAAUUAUAUUUUAAUUGUAAAUGUUAAUGAUAUCAUCUUGACAUAAAGUCUUUAAGAAGAGAUAAAUAAAUUUAUUCGCAUUCUGGUUAAAAAUUUGAAUUCAAGGAUCUUUGUUUAUUAAACUUUUUUAACAUUAAAAUAAUAGGAUCAAGCAAGGGGAUAUUUGUCUCAAAAUAGAAAUACACAAUGGAAUUACUAAAGGGAAAUGCAUGCUUGGGUGUAAGCCGACAUUCACGCUAGUAGAUCUCCAUCAAACCAAGUUGGAAUUAAGGAAGAUUCAAACAUGUUUGACAAAGUAUUGAUGAUUACCAAGGAAACUUAUAUACUUAACUCGCACUAGACUUGACAUUUGCUUCCUUGUUAGUUUUGUUAGUCAAUUUAUGAAUAAUCCCACGAAUGAGCACCUCGAUCUUAUAUACAAGUUAUUAAGAUAGCUUAAAAAGACACCUAAAAAAAUGUUAUUAUUAAAAAACGAGAUUAACUAUUAAAAUCUCAAUUAUCCCUUGGCCCAUGAUCCCACAACCAACAUGAGGAUCCAUGGGAGGCUUAGCUGGAUCACGUCGAUCUCCUUCCAUAUUCGAGUGGUUGAUUUAGGAAUGAUUAUAUUAGGGCAAUUAUGCAUGAUUCCGUAUUUAUUUAUUUUUUUAUUAAGAUAUAUUGUAUAGAUCUAUAAAUAGGGAUAAUUUUGUAUAAUAAAAUAAAGCAUUUUUCCUCUCAAAUUCUGAGUUUUUUUUACUGUCGGACUUUAUGAAGGGAAGGUUGGGCCUUCCCUUUAGAAACGAAAGAGAGCGAGUUAUCGGCUUGUUCGUUCCUGCAUACGUCCAACAGAGAGGAGGGAGAGUGCUUCAUCAUACGGUCUCUGUUUUCGAUCGAGAGAGAUGACCGUCUCGUGUGUCUCAUCUGGAGGAGUCGACCGAGAACCCCCGAUCUCUGCGUUCGAUCUCUAACGUCUCGUGAACUCCUCUCGUGUGCGUGUGACUGAACAGGAUGAGAGAGGUGUGCGACCAACCUUAGCAGGAUCAUGCAUCCUUGAAGCUUGUUGCAUGCAAUUUUUUUUUUUUUUGUAAAAAAAAAUUUUGUUGCAUGCAUUAGCCUCCUAUCACGUGCGUCUGGUGCGGAAUCGAGAGGAGCCUUCAUUUUUGGAAUUCUAAGGAAAAUAGGUUCCCACCACCAGCCUUCAUUGCCAAAAUUCCGAGGAUACAGAUUCCUAACACUAGCCUUCAUUGCUGGAAUUUUGAGGAAUACAGAUUCCCACCAUCGGCCUUCAUUGCUAGAAUUAUGAGGAAUAAUGGUCCUUACACCGGCCUUCAUUGCUGGAAUUCUAAGGAAUAUUGGUCAUUCGUGCAUCCAAGAUCGAGGGGAGAUCGAGCGGGACGUCUCCUUUCACGUGCAACGUCCAUAGUCAACCGAGCUGAAGCGAGAGAAGUAGAGCACAAGACCUCCUCUUGCAUGCAUAUGGAAAGAGCUGAGAGUUCCCUCUCGUGAGGGUAGUCUAAGGCCGGUACAAAUAAGAGUGCAAAACAUGCACUCCUCUCUUCGAUUAGACCAGAGGGUUAGGCCUGGCGUGCGCCUAUACAUGGACCCAUGGUCAAUCGAACACAAGUGUUCGGGUGGAGUCGGACGAUUGAUUUGCAUUAGGCUGAAGGCUAGCUUUGAUCGAAUAGGAUGAUAUUUACUUGCCAAGUGCUGAGCCACUUGAGACGUAUUUUUCUGAUGUUGUCAUUUAAAGCUUGCCGCAACCAUAAGAAUGUAUUUUUUUCCUAUUGUUGUGCUUUCAUUUCCGGCCUUCCCAUAUGGUUGCUAUCUUAUCCAUAACUAAUGCAGUCUUCAUUACAACCCUACUUAAUAUAUCUUUCAUUGCUACCCUUUGCCAUCGCAAUGUCUGAAGCUAAUUUCUCCCAAAGUUUUGACCAAAUGGAGGACUCUAUGGUGCACCAAGAGACUCAACAACUCUACAUUUUUGUACUAAUUACCAAGCUGGGAAUGACAUAUCUAUAUUUCCCAACUUGGGGGAGAGUGUUAAAAUCUUAAUCGUCCCUUGGCCCUUGAUCCCACAGUCAGCAGGGAGAUCCGUGGGAGGCUCACCUAGAUUACGUUGUUAAAUCUCAUCUGUCUCUUGGCCCUUGAUCGCACGGCUAGGAUGGGGAUCCAUGGGAGACUCACAUGGAUCACGUAGAUCUCUUUCCAUAUUCGGGUGGCUGAUUUAGGAAGUAUUAUAUUAGAGCAAUUAUGCAUGUUUUCAUAUUUAUUUGCUUAUUUAUUAAGAUAUCUUGUAUAGAUCUAUAAAUAUGUAUAGUUUGGUACAAUAAAAUUAAGUAUUUACCCUCUCAAAUUCUCGGAAUUUAACAUUAACACAUGUAUAGAAAUCUUUGUUGAUGCUGACUAGACUGGAUCUAGAACAGAUUACAAAUUCACAUGUGGUUAUUGCUCACUUACAUGGGAAAAUUUAGCUACGGGGAGAAGCAAGAAAGGGUUUAUGGUAGCCUAGAGCAAAGCUAAAGUAAGUAGAAUUAAGUGUCAUGAAUCAUAGAAUUUGUGAAGGUAUAAAGCUUCUAAGUUUUCUCAAAGAUUUAAAAAUUUUCGAGUUAUGACAAUCAAGCUGCUAGUAACAUUAUUAAGAAUUAUGUCCACCAUGAUAGAGCUGAGCAUAUUGAAAUUGAUAGCAAUGUAUAAAGGAGAGUAUUGAACACUCAUCCAAGUUAAUUACAGUCCAACAAAACUUCAAAAUUCUAAUAUUUUUAUUAUAGAUCUUAAUUAAUCAUAUUUGAUAAGUUUGCUUCCAAGCUGAUGAUGGUCAACAUAUAUUUUGAGAUUGAGGGGAAGUGCGUAAAUCCUGAAAUCAUCUCCCUAGUCCAAACUCCAGCAAUCAAUUCAGCAACCCAACUAUUGCCAGCUUGCAGCCAUGCUAGCUCCCGCGAGGCCACAGAUCUCCCAACAAUUGAUUCAGUAGCCUGCGUGCUAACAGCUAGCAACAGUGCCAGCUGCAACAACUCCUUUUUCACAAUGGUACUGGUUUUUCCUUACCUCAAGCAGAGUAUGUUGUAAUUGAUGAAGGUCUAGAUCCAGGCUUUGCUGCGGUGGGGAAUACGCAUUGUCCAACUUUCCAGAGUGAAGAAAACUUUUGGAGAGGAUACCAUGCUAGCUUGAAUAUCAAGCUUUAUGAGAAUGAUUCUGAAUCUCUUCCCUCUUCACGGAUUGUGAAGGAUAAUCAGUCAAGUCCGAAGAUUUUAGAAAGAAAUUCGAGUUCCAGGUCCCUGAACUAUAUGGGUAGGAAUGCACAGGAGGAAGAACAAGGAACCUCUAAAGAAAGAUCGUUUGAUUCUGCUUCUGAUAUUGAGGAUUAUUAUUUUUAUUCCAGAAAGGAAGGAGAAGACGCCUCUAUCCAGAAACACAUAUUGGUGGAGGAUCACAUGGCUUCCAUUUCUCUCAGCGAAGGGCUGCAGUUAAGAAAACGGACAAAUAAGAACUUUGAUGAAGAGGAAAUAAGAGACUUUCAUGAGAUUGAUGGGUUUGAGUAUGUGAUUGUGUAAAGGUAUUCUUUCUCUCUAUUUUUAGCACUUUUGUUAUGCUUCUCAAGUCAAAAUGUGAAAAGAAAAAACAAUUAUUUAUGAAUUGGAGGUAUUAUUACCAUUUUAAUAAAAAUUAUCAGCAUGUAUA